rnacentral:tRNA from 1 species
GCGCGUAUCGUCUAGCGGCCUAGGACAUCGCCCUUUCACGGCGGCAACCGGGGUUCGAUUCCCCGUACGCGUA